UUUCAAGGGUGAAUUAGCUA
rnacentral:siRNA from 1 species